rnacentral:rRNA from 1 species
GACGAACCGUGCGAACGUUGUUCGGAAUCACUGGGCUUAAAGGGCGCGUAGGCGGGCUGUCAAGUCUGGGGUGAAAUGCCGCGGCUCGAACCGGUGGAACUGCCUUAGAUACUGACGGCCUCGGAGGGAGGUAGGGGCCGUGCGGAACUGUAGGUGGAGCGGUGAAAUGCGUUGAUAUCUAACAGGAACUCCGGUGGCGGAAAGCGGCGCCGCUGGACCUCUUCUGACGCCUGAGGCGCGAAAGCUAGGGGAGCAAACGGG